CCUACGGGGGGCAGCAGUGAGGAAUAUUGGUCAAUGGACGAGAGUCUGAACCAGCAAAGUAGCGUGAAGGAUGACUGCCCUAUGGGCUGUAAACUUCUUUUAUAUGGGAAUAAAAUGUUCCACGUGUGGGAUUAUGUAUGUACCAUAUGAAUAAGGAUAGGCUAACCCCGUGCCAGCAGCCGCGGUAAUACGGAGGAUCCGAGCGUUAUCCGGAUUUAUUGGGUUUAAAGGGAGCGUAGGUGGAUUGUUAAGUCAGUUGUGAAAGUUUGCGGCUCAACCGUAAAAGUGCAGUUGAAACUGGCAGUCUUGAGUACAGUAGAGGUGGGCGGAAUUCGUGGUGUAGCGGUGAAAUGCUUAGAUAUCACGAAGAACUCCGGUUGCGAAGGCAGUUCACUGGACUGCAACUGACGCUGAGGCUCGAAAGUGUGGGUAUCAAACAGGAUUAGAUACCCUGGUAGUC
rnacentral:rRNA from 1 species